GAAAGAUAGGCUAUAAAUAAUAAGCCUCUAGAUUCAUGCUCUAACGAAAUGGACACCCAUUCUUUCC
rnacentral:tRNA from 1 species